AGCGAACGCUGGCGGCAGGCCUAACACAUGCAAGUCGAACGAACCUUUCGGGGUUAGUGGCGGACGGGUGAGUAACACGUGGGAACGUACCUUUAGGUUCGGAAUAACUCAGGGAAACUUGUGCUAAUACCGAAUGUGCCCUUCGGGGGAAAGAUUAAUCGCCUUUAGAGCGGCCCGCGUCUGAUUAGCUAGUUGGUUGAGGUAAUGGCUCACCAAGGCGACGAUCAGUAGCUGGUCUGAGAGGAUGAUCAGCCACAUUGGGACUGAGACACGGCCCAAACUCCUACGGGAGGCAGCAGUGGGGAAUCUUGCGCAAUGGGCGAAAGCCUGACGCAGCCAUGCCGCGUGAAUGAUGAAGGUCUUAGGAUUGUAAAAUUCUUUCACCGGGGACGAUAAUGACGGUACCCGGAGAAGAAGCCCCGGUUAACUUCGUG
rnacentral:rRNA from 1 species